UAGUAACUAAAUUCUUAUUUAAUUAAUUAUAAUAUUCUAAUGAAACAAAUGAAACAUGAAUAAAGACUCAAUAAUUAUUACUACUAUUACCAAUUAUACUUGUGUUUUUUAAGUAUACACAUGAGUUAAAAAUAUAAAAGAGAAAGAAAACAAAAUGGAAUAAACCAAAAGCUGGGGUAAGGCCUGCAUAAGGGGUUAGCUUAAAAAAAAAACAAGCCACAAGGGACCACGAGGCCCAAGGGCGCUUUUCUUCUGUCGGAUUGGGCCGGAAGCCCAUAAAAGCUCCAUCCUAGUGGGAAAACCAAACAGAAUUUAAACCAGCAGAAGAAAAAAGGGCGGAUGCAGCCACGUGGCCCCCACCCAGCUUUGGUACACGAACAAUAUGUGUUGGUAGACGAACAUCUCCAUUAAUCCGUCUUAUUUCCAAUUUUCAAAAGCAGAGUAAUUAUUCAAACCAACACAGUAGCCAAGACCUAGUCUAAAUCGGAACUUGGGAAGGCCAGAUGAGUGACAACACAUUUAAUCUUAAUUAAGGCUAUUAAAACUAUCAUAAUAUAUAAAAGCAAAAUAACACAUUUGGAGAAAGAAAAAAAAAUAAAACAUGCUUGGCUCUUCUCAUGUUCCUAUUAUCCUAUCCCGUCGUUCUCAUCAGAGAGGAGCGGCGGCGCCGCCCCCGAACAUGAAAAUUUUAACACAAACCCACCAUUGAAUUGAUCCCCAAGCUCGAAUCCGAAACCAACUCCCUUUAUAUACCUACCGAUUGCUCUAAUAAAAAACUCAACCUUGAUUUUGCCAAAACCUAUACUAAACAACUACUCCUAAAACAAAAUCUUGAUCUAAUGAACCAAACAAAAUGCAUCAUACAAGAGGAGUUUCUAUGGAAAGCCAAGGUCAAAGCUCGGGUUAAAGACACACAAAGUAAGACUAACCUUCGAUGGAUCUUAAUCGCGCUCAAAUGUGCGUCUUGAUCGUGAAAAAAAGAAANUUCCAAAAUUGUGCUUGGUGAAAAAUUGGUUUGACCUAGGGUUGUUUGACUUGUGGUAUAUUUGUGCACAUUUUGCCAUUUUUGAUGUGAAAUUCUCAUACUUAAAAAGAAAUGUUUGAAAUUUUUUGUGGUGAUUCUAGACAUG
rnacentral:lncRNA from 1 species